AGUGAACGCUGGCGGCAGGCUUAACACAUGCAAGUCGAGCGGGGAAAGGUAGCUUGCUACCUGACCUAGCGGCGGACGGGUGAGUAAUGCUUAGGAAUCUGCCUAUUAGUGGGGGACAACAUCUCGAAAGGGAUGCUAAUACCGCAUACGUCCUACGGGAGAAAGCAGGGGACCUUCGGGCCCUGCGCUAAUAGAUGAGCCUAAGUCGGAUUAGCUAGUUGGUGGGGUAAAGGCCUACCAAGGCGACGAUCUGUAGCGGGUCUGAGAGGAUGAUCCGCCACACUGGGACUGAGACACGGCCCAGACUCCUACGGGAGGCAGCAGUGGGGAAUAUUGGACAAUGGGGGGAACCCUGAUCCAGCCAUGCCGCGUGUGUGAAGAAGGCCUUUUGGUUGUAAAGCACUUUAAGCGAGGAGGAGGCUACCGAGAUUAAUACUCUUGGAUAGUGGACGUUACUCGCAGAAUAAGCACCGGCUAACUCUGUGCCAGCCGCCGCCGUAACAC
rnacentral:rRNA from 1 species